rnacentral:rRNA from 1 species
AUUGAACGCUGGCGGCAUGCCUUACACAUGCAAGUCGAACGGAAGCACGGGUGCUUGCACCUGGUGGCGAGUGGCGAACGGGUGAGUAAUACAUCGGAACAUGUCCUGUAGUGGGGGAUAGACCGGCGAAAGCCGGAUUAAUACCGCAUACGAUCUACGGAUGACAGGGGGGGACCUUCGGGCUUCGCGCUGUAGGGUUGGCCGAUGGCUGAUUAGCUAGUUGGUGGGGUAAAGGCCUACAAAGGCGCCGAUCAGUAGAUGAUCUGAGAGGACGACCAGCCACACGAGGACUGAGACACGGCCCAGACGCCUACGAGAGGCAGCAGUGGGGAAUGGUGGACAAUGGGCGAAAGCCUUAUCCAGCGAUGCCGCGUGUGUGAAGAAGGCCUUCGGGUUGUAAAGCACUUUUGUCCGGAAAGAAAUCCUUGGCUCUAAUACAGUCGGGGGAUGACGGUACCGGAAGAAUAAGCACCGGCUAACUACGUG